rnacentral:rRNA from 1 species
GACGAACGCUGGCGGCGUGCUUAACACAUGCAAGUCGAACGGAAAGGCCUGUCCUUCCUUGUGUUGGACGGGUACUCGAGUGGCGAACGGGUGAGUAACACGUGAGUGAUCUGCCCCCAACUUGGGUAUAAGCCUGGGAAACUGGGUCUAAUUCCCGAUAGGACUGCAGGGUGGUGCCUGUGGUGGCAAACGAUUUUCUAGUGGUUGGGGAUGAGCUCGCGGCCUAUCAGCUUGUUGGUGGGGUAAUGGCCUACCAAGGCGGCGACGGGUAGCCGGCCUGAGAGGGUGGACGGCCACAUUGGGACUGAGAUACGGCCCAGACUCCUACGGGAGGCAGCAGUGGGGAAUAAUGCACAAUGGGCGGAAGCCUGAUGCAGCGACGCCGCGUGGGGGAUGACGGCCUUCGGGUUGUAAACUCCUUUCGACCGCGAGGAAGCCGCCUGGUUGGAAGGGUGGUGACGGUAGUGGUAGAAGAAGCACCGGCUAACUACGUG